UAUAGCAGAUAUAAUAGUAUACAUUCAAAAGGUAAACAAUAUUAAAAAUGAUAAAAAAAACGGUUAUAUAGAUGAGGAUGAUGUAGGUGAGAAAAGAAAAGAAAAUGAUAAGAAGUAUGUUGAGAAAUAUACUCAACCAAAUAAUCAUGACCAAAACCAAACACAAAACCACCCUCCUGGAGAGCUAAAUAUGCCGUUUUCCCAAUACAGAGUAAAAAUACAAGAUAAAAGAUUAAAAAAACAUGUUUGUAAAGAUUAUAAUAUAGGUAUAUUACAAAAUUGCACGAAGAAUGUUAACUAUUUAAAAUUGUUAUACAUAAUUAGUAACAAUAUGUUACCAUUAAAUGGUUAUUUAUUAUUUGUUAAUAUAUUACAUAAAAAAGAGUUGAGUUAUCAGUAUAAAUUAUUAACUUUAGAAUACUUUGGUAAUGUAGUAAAUAAAAUUAGCACAGAUAGAGCGAAAUAUAUAGCUCAGGCUAUACCAUUAGUUUUAGAAGUUUUUUAUAAUAUUGAUGGGGAACCUUAUUAUAAUGAUAAUAUCAACAAUCUGGAUGUGUUAAUAUCUAUGUGCAAAUUUGUUAAUGUGUUAUGUGAUGCAUCGGUAAAAAAACAAGAAGAUGAUAAACAAGAUGUGGCAUUACAUUCUAUUGUUGCGUUUAUCAUGAAAUUGUUAUAUUAUCAUCAUACUGAUAUACAAGUAAAUAAAAAAGUGGAAGAACUAUUUAAAUAUAUACAUUACGAAGAUAUUGUAUAUGAUAAAAGUAUAAAACUAUAUACUAACUUAUCUAGUAAUAUAUAUGAAAAUAAAAAAGAACGAAUGGUAAAAAUAUCUUUAGAAGCAUUAACUUGGAGAUUAAGUAUUAUUAAUCCUAAUUUACACAACAUGUUUGAAAAAGUAAAUAUAUUAAUACCUAAUACAAAGACAUGCGUAUUAGAAAACUCGACAAUGGAAAUAUCCAUUUUAUGUUAUUUAAUUUUGGUUCAAAAAUUAAGUGUUUAUUUUUUUCCUUCUGUUUUUUCAGAAUUAUAUAUUUUUAAUUUAAUGAUGAGAAAUAGUUAUAAUAUUCUUUUAUGUAUACCACAUGUAAAAGAACAUUUAAAAAUUAACUUACUAACCAAAGCAUAUCAUUUUAUUUGUCUUGCUUGUGUAUUAUCAAAAAGUAUUAAAAAAAAAAAUUAUGAACAUUAUACCAAUAUUUAUAAAUUCAAAUGGAAACC
rnacentral:lncRNA from 1 species